GAUGAACGCUGGCGGCGUGCCUAAUACAUGCAAGUCGAGCGAACAGACGAGGAGCUUGCUCCUCUGACGUUAGCGGCGGACGGGUGAGUAACACGUGGAUAACCUACCUAUAAGACUGGGAUAACUUCGGGAAACCGGAGCUAAUACCGGAUAAUAUAUUGAACCGCAUGGUUCAAUAGUGAAAGACGGUUUUGCUGUCACUUAUAGAUGGAUCCGCGCCGCAUUAGCUAGUUGGUAAGGUAACGGCUUACCAAGGCGAUGAUGCGUAGCCGACCUGAGAGGGUGAUCGGCCACACUGGAACUGAGACACGGUCCAGACUCCUACGGGAGGCAGCAGUAGGGAAUCUUCCGCAAUGGGCGAAAGCCUGACGGAGCAACGCCGCGUGAGUGAUGAAGGUCUUCGGAUCGUAAAACUCUGUUAUUAGGGAAGAACAAAUGUGUAAGUAACUAUGCACGUCUUGACGGUACCUAAUCAGAAAGCCACGGCUAACUACGU
rnacentral:rRNA from 1 species